CGGCGAGCGAAACGGGACCAGCCCAAACCAAGAGGCUUGCCUCUUGGGGUUGUAGGACACUCUAUACGGAGUUACAAAGGAAUGAUAUAAGCGAAGAGGUCUGGAAAGGCCCGCCAAAGAAGGUAACAGCCCUGUAACUGAAAUGUCGUUCUCUCCAGAGUGGAUCCUGAGUACGGCGGAACACGUGAAAUUCCGUCGGAAUCCGGGAGGACCAUCUCCC
rnacentral:rRNA from 1 species